AAGAUAUGAUAGGGACAUUUCCUCAAAAAAUAUUUAAAUCUCUCCUACGCCUCAAAUAAUGAUUCAAUGUCUUACUGUAUAUAUGUUGUAAUCUCUUGACAUAACUU